rnacentral:rRNA from 1 species
UACGGAGGGUGCAAGCGUUAUCCGGAAUCACUGGGUUUAAAGGGUGCGUAGGCGGUUCGAUAAGUCAGUUGUGAAAUACCCCGGCUUAACCGGUGGCAGUGCGAUUGAUACUGUUGAACUUGAAUGAGGUUGAGGUAGGCGGAAUGUGGCAUGUAGCGGUGAAAUGCUUAGAUAUGCCAUAGAACACCGAUUGCGAAGGCAGCUUGCUGGACCUUCAUUGACGCUGAGGCACGAAAGCGUGGGGAGCAAACAGG